AUGAACGCUGGCGGCGUGCCUAAUACAUGCAAGUCGAGCGAACGGACGAGAAGCUUGCUUCUCUGAUGUUAGCGGCGGACGGGUGAGUAACACGUGGAUACCUACCUAUAAGACUGGGAUAACUUCGGGAAACCGGAGCUAAUACCGGAUAAUAUUUUGAACCGCAUGGUUCAAAAGUGAAAGACGGUCUUGCUGUCACUUAUAGAUGGAUCCGCGCUGCAUUAGCUAGUUGGUAAGGUAACGGCUUACCAAGGCAACGAUGCAUAGCCGACCUGAGAGGGUGAUCGGCCACACUGGAACUGAGACACGGUCCAGACUCCUACGGGAGGCAGCAGUAGGGAAUCUUCCGCAAUGGGCGAAAGCCUGACGGAGCAACGCCGCGUGAGUGAUGAAGGUCUUCGGAUCGUAAAACUCUGUUAUUAGGGAAGAACAUAUGUGUAAGUAACUGUGCACAUCUUGACGGUACCUAAUCAGAAAGCCACGGCUAACUACGUG
rnacentral:rRNA from 1 species